CUCCAACGAGCGCAAGCCUGAUCCAGCAAUGCCGCGUGAGUGAAGAAGGCCUUCGGGUUGUAAAGCUCUUUUGUCAGGGAAGAAACGGUUCCGGCUAAUAUCUGGAGCUAAUGACGGUACCUGAAGAAUAAGCACCGGCUAACUACGUGCCAGCAGCCGCGGUAAUACGUAGGGUGCAAGCGUUAAUCGGAAUUACUGGGCGUAAAGCGUGCGCAGGCGGUUUUGUAAGUCUGUCGUGAAAGCCCCGGGCUCAACCUGGGAAUUGCGAUGGAGACUGCAAGGCUUGAAUCUGGCAGAGGGGGGUAGAAUUCCACGUGUAGCAGUGAAAUGCGUAGAGAUGUGGAGGAACACCGAUGGCGAAGGCAGCCCCCUGGGUCAAGAUUGA
rnacentral:rRNA from 1 species